AUUCUGUGGUACCGCAGUUCUGUUUCAGAAUCGCUGAAUUGGAUGAAAACUUUUCAGCUAUUUUCACGAAUUGAGGGACAUUGAUGGCCUUGGCUUUCUGAUCAUUGGAUUGAGCCCUCUGCUAAUUCACAUUCUGGUGGGCUCCCGGUCAAACCAGGAAUUAACACCGCUGGUCAACGAAGUUGUAAUAAGGCAAGUGUCUGUCCCCUUCUUCCAACGAUGCUGCAAUUAACUCAGUAGUCUGCUUGAUCGAUUGAGUGCCAGGUUUGGAAGGAAUAUCCCCUAUGAGAGGUUGAUCCAUAUGUGUUUCACUGACAACUCAAAUACAAUAGGUCAAUCAAAUGUGCAGGUGCCCCAAAACCAUCUACCAACGUGGACCAAUGGAGCGCACAUGAUGUUCCAUCACCGAAAAAAUGAACCAAACUUGGUAAUAGUGAAGACAUUGUCUAACCUUACCAGGCGCAACCCUGAGGACCUCAAGAGACUUUGCUGUGCAUCACCUGAUCAUCGAGACAGAGUUGGCCUGCCACCGUCCAUGAAAUAAACAAAACUGUUUUAUUUUCCUUUGACAGCUAGUAUCUCCAGACUUUUCCUCAAAUAUUUCCCUUGUGGCAUGGGCCCAACUAUGCACAGCCAGUCUCCUAGACUGGAACACUGUCAUGACCCAGACUUCAAUGAAGAAGUCUCCCAGGAGUCCACACACCUGCCAUGACCUUGGACCAGCAAGAUAAGUUUCAGUGCAAAAGGAACCAAAGGAAACAAGCAAAAACACAUAAGCAAGGAACCACCACCAAAGAAAUAGAGGAAACCGCUUCUUCUCCAAGGCUCCAAAACCAGCUGCAAACUUUUUCCUGGGGCCAUCUUAAAUACCUUGCCCAACAGGGCUUGAGGAUGCUUGCCCUGAUUGGAUGAUGCUGAGUCACUCGUAGAUCAGUUGUUCCAUGCUGACCUUAGCUUCAAGCUGGAGCUGCCUCCGAAAAUGUAAAUUCCAAACUGGCAGUCCUCAACCACCACUUCUACAUAGACAUUAAGAUUUUCAAUCAAUGAUUUCAAUCGAUUGUUGUGGAUUGGCAUUCAAACUUAAAAUGGAAAAAGAAAAUCAAGCCAAAAUGAUAGUGUAUGUUGCCUAGAUUAUAUGGGCCUAGAAUUAAUUGGACUAUUUCAACUGGUUUUUGUCCAUAGAAUGUGCCCAUACACCGAUCAGCCACAACAUUAAAACCAG